rnacentral:rRNA from 1 species
GACGAACGCUGGCGGCGUGCUUAACACAUGCAAGUCGAACGAAGUGGCGAACGGGUGAGUAACGCGUAAUUAACCUGCCCUUCAGGGGGGGACAACAGUUGGAAACGACUGCUAAUACCGCAUACUGAAGGUGGGGAUUGCGGCUGAUUAGCUAGUUGGAGGGGUAACGGCCCACCAAGGCUAUGAUCAGUAGCCGGUGUGGGAGGAUGAACGACCACAUUGGGACUGAGACACGGCCCAGACUCCUACGGGAGGCAGCAGUGGGGAAUCUUCCGCAAUGGACGAAAGUCUGACGGAGCAACGCCGCGUGGGUGAUGACGGCCUUCGGGUUGUAAAACUCUUUUCAUCGGGACGCGGUACCGGAAUAGAAAGCCACGGCUAACUACGUGCCAGCCGCCGCGGUAAUUC